GCCAGGUGUGGUGGCACACUCCUGUAAUUCUAGCUACUCAGGAGGCUGAGGCAGGAGGAUUGCAAGUUGGAGGCCAGCCUCAAUAAUUUGGCAAGAUCCUAUCUCAA
rnacentral:sRNA from 1 species